CUACGGGAGGCAGCAGUGGGGAAUUUUGGACAAGGGGGGCAACCGUGAUCCAGCAAUGCCGCGUGUGUGAAGAAGGCCUUCGGGUUGUAAAGCACUUUUGUUCGGGAAGAAAUCCCUUGGGUUAAUAUCCCGGGGGGAUGACGGUACCGGAAGAAUAAGCACGGGCAAACUACGUGCCAGCAGCCGCGGUAAUACGUAGGGUGCGAGCGUUUAUCGGAAUUACUGGGCGUAAAGCGUGCGCGGGCGGUUUUGCAAGACAGAUGUGAAAUCCCCGGGCUCAACCUGGGAACUGCAUUUGAGACUGCAAGGCUAGAGUGUGUGAGAGGGGGGUAGAAUUCCACGUGUAGCAGUGAAAUGCGUAGAUAUGUGGAGGAACACCGAUGGCGAAGGCAGCCCCCUGGGAUAACACUGACGCUCAUGCACGAAAGCGUGGGGAGCAAACAGGAUUAGAUACCCUGGUAGUCCACGCCCUAAACGAUGUCAACUAGUUGUCGGGUCUUAAUUGACUUGGUAACGCAGCUAACGCGUUAAAGUGACCGCCUGGGAGAGUA
rnacentral:rRNA from 1 species